rnacentral:rRNA from 1 species
UAGGGAAUCUUCGGCAAUGGGGGCAACCCUGACCGAGCAACGCCGCGUGAGUGAAGAAGGUUUUCGGAUCGUAAAGCUCUGUUGUAAGAGAAGAACGUGUGUGAGAGUGGAAAGUUCACACAGUGACGGUAACUUACCAGAAAGGGACGGCUAACUACGUGCCAGCAGCCGCGGUAAUACGUAGGUCCCGAGCGUUGUCCGAAUUUAUUGGGCGUAAAGCGAGCUCAGGCGGUUUAAUAAGUCUGAAGUUAAAGGCAGUGGCUUAACCAUUGUUCUCUUUGGAAACUGUUAAACUUGAGUGCAGAAGGGGAGAGUGGAAUUCCAUGUGUAGCGGUGAAAUGCGUAGAUAUAUGGAGGAACACCGGUGGCGAAAGCGGCUCUCUGGUCUGUAACUGACGCUGAGGCUCGAAAGCGUGGGGAGCAAACAGG